GAUGAACGCUAGCGGGAGGCUUAACACAUGCAAGCCGAGGGGUAUUUGUAGCUUGCUACAGAGAGACCGGCGCACGGGUGCGUAACGCGUAUGCAAUCUGCCUUUAUCAUAGGGAUAGCCUUUCGAAAGGGAGAUUAAUACCUAAUAACACUUUUUAUGGCAUCAUAAGAAGUUAAAAGAUUUAUCGGAUAAAGAUGAGCAUGCGUCAGAUUAGGUAGUUGGUAAGGUAAAGGCUUACCAAGCCGACGAUCUGUAGGGGGCCUGAGAGGGUGAACCCCCACACUGGUACUGAGACACGGACCAGACUCCUACGGGAGGCAGCAGUGAGGAAUAUUGGACAAUGGGUGCAAGCCUGAUCCAGCCAUGCCGCGUGAGUGAUGAAGGCCUUCGGGUUGUAAGCUCUUUCUACCCACGACGAUGAUGACGGUAGUGGG
rnacentral:rRNA from 1 species